UUCACACUGUGAAAUACACCCCAAUUUCCCAAUAGAAAGAAACUGAAAUUAUGAAGAAUAAGAUUGACUGAAAUGGAUGACAGUGUUUAAAAAAUGUUAGCUAGUAUUGAUGUUUUGGAGGAAAAAAAUUACUCCAGGAAUGCUGCCCCGAGGAGGUGAUGGAUGGGGCUGCCACGGGGCCGUGUCAGGCUGGAUAAGUCACUCCAGCUGUGUCAGAGGUGAUCAUUACUCCUGUGCUCCUUGUUUUCUGGGUGCCUGACUGACGACCCUGGUAUGCAGAAAUAUGAGGCACUUAAAGCUUAGCUGCCUCUGAAAUCUCGAUGUUGGAGCUGGCUGUGAGCUUUUUGAUGAAAAUCUUUUUAUUUUCUGUUGGAAAAUGUUGACUCGCCACAGCUGAGAUUUUCACAGGUGUGAAAGAGUGAAAAAAGGUCUCUGUGCUCUUCAUGAAGGGGGAGAGCAGCUGUGUGCCUGGCUGUGCUUUGGGCAGCUCUGGGUUCAGGGAACAGACACCUCAGCAGAUGGGACACACUCAGCCCCAUUUCCCUGGCUCUGCAACAAUUGUCCUGGAGAGGUUGGUGAAGGCAGGACACCCCACACCUCACACUUGCCUCCUACUGACCACUAAUGCUCCCUGCUCAGGCUGGUCUCCCUCCUUCUCCACCAGCUGUGGCUGUGAGGAGUAGCCAGCUCUUGCCUCUCUGCUUCACAUGUAAGAAGAACAAGCACAGCCCCUUCCAUUGCUCCCUUCUCUAAGGUAAGCCUAUUUCCUUUUCUUCUCUUUUCUCUAUUUCCUUUUCACUUUCCUUUCAGGUCACAUUUCCAGGUCCCUUGUUAGCAUUGCCGCUCACUUUCUGAACUGAACUCUAAUUUGUCCAGCUUUAUUUCAGUAGGAUGAUCAAAAUUAGUCACAGUAGUCCAGCUGUGGCCUCUCCAAUCCAUGAGCACAGGUUUAAUGAGUUCGCUGUGUUUUAUGCGCACUAAGCUCAGUAACAAAUUCCAUUCUUAAUUUUUCCUAAUAACUCUGCAAGUUGCAAAUCAUUAGGAACCUGCAUGGAAGGCAGCCUGGCUGGUUUGUAGCACCUCAAACCAUACUUUAUUUUCACUUUUUCUUGUUAAGCACUGAAUUUUUGUCUCUGUUUUUGCCCUUUGGAUGUCAGAAGUUCUGC
rnacentral:lncRNA from 1 species